rnacentral:rRNA from 1 species
AAAUUGAAGAGUUUGAUCAUGGCUCAGAUUGAACGCUGGCGGCAGGCCUAACACAUGCAAGUCGAGCGGUAGCACAGAGAGCUUGCUCUCGGGUGACGAGCGGCGGACGGGUGAGUAAUGUCUGGGAAACUGCCUGAUGGAGGGGGAUAACUACUGGAAACGGUAGCUAAUACCGCAUAACGUCGCAAGACCAAAGUGGGGGACCUUCGGGCCUCAUGCCAUCAGAUGUGCCCAGAUGGGAUUAGCUAGUAGGUGGGGUAACGGCUCACCUAGGCGACGAUCCCUAGCUGGUCUGAGAGGAUGACCAGCCACACUGGAACUGAGACACGGUCCAGACUCCUACGGGAGGCAGCAGUGGGGAAUAUUGCACAAUGGGCGCAAGCCUGAUGCAGCCAUGCCGCGUGUGUGAAGAAGGCCUUCGGGUUGUAAAGCACUUUCAGCGGGGAGGAAGGCGUUAAGGUUAAUAACCUUGGCGAUUGACGUUACCCGCAGAAGAAGCACCGGCUAACUCCGUGCCAGCAGCCGCGGUAAUACGGAGGGUGCAAGCGUUAAUCGGAAUUACUGGGCGUAAAGCGCACGCAGGCGGUCUGUCAAGUCGGAUGUGAAAUCCCCGGGCUCAACCUGGGAACUGCAUUCGAAACUGGCAGGCUAGAGUCUUGUAGAGGGGGGUAGAAUUCCAGGUGUAGCGGUGAAAUGCGUAGAGAUCUGGAGGAAUACCGGUGGCGAAGGCGGCCCCCUGGACAAAGACUGACGCUCAGGUGCGAAAGCGUGGGGAGCAAACAGGAUUAGAUACCCUGGUAGUCCACGCCGUAAACGAUGUCGAUUUGGAGAUUGUGCCCUUGAGGCGUGGCUUCCGGAGCUAACGCGUUAAAUCGACCGCCUGGGGAGUACGGCCGCAAGGUUAAAACUCAAAUGAAUUGACGGGGGCCCGCACAAGCGGUGGAGCAUGUGGUUUAAUUCGAUGCAACGCGAAGAACCUUACCUGGUCUUGACAUCCACAGAACUUUCCAGAGAUGGAUUGGUGCCUUCGGGAACUGUGAGACAGGUGCUGCAUGGCUGUCGUCAGCUCGUGUUGUGAAAUGUUGGGUUAAGUCCCGCAACGAGCGCAACCCUUAUCCUUUGUUGCCAGCGGUCCGGCCGGGAACUCAAAGGAGACUGCCAGUGAUAAACUGGAGGAAGGUGGGGAUGACGUCAAGUCAUCAUGGCCCUUACGACCAGGGCUACACACGUGCUACAAUGGCAUAUACAAAGAGAAGCGACCUCGCGAGAGCAAGCGGACCUCAUAAAGUAUGUCGUAGUCCGGAUUGGAGUCUGCAACUCGACUCCAUGAAGUCGGAAUCGCUAGUAAUCGUAGAUCAGAAUGCUACGGUGAAUACGUUCCCGGGCCUUGUACACACCGCCCGUCACACCAUGGGAGUGGGUUGCAAAAGAAGUAGGUAGCUUAACCUUCGGGAGGGCGCUUACCACUUUGUGAUUCAUGACUGGGGUGAAGUCGUAACAAGGUAACCGUAGGGGAACCUGCGGUUGGAUCACCUCCUUACCUUAAAGAA